UGCCUUGUAGCUCUGUCAGCAGAGCGUGAGACUCCGAAUCUCAGGGUGCUGGGUUUGAGUCCUAUGUAGGGCAA